AUCGAACGCUGGCGGCAGGCCUAACACAUGCAAGUCGAACGAGUGGCGGACGGGUGAGUAAUGUCUGGGAAACUGCCUGAUGGAGGGGGAUAACUACUGGAAACGGUAGCUAAUACCGCAUACCAUCGGAUGUGCCCAAAUGGGAUUAGCUAGUAGGUGGGGUAAAGGCUCACCUAGGCGACGAUCCCUAGCUGGUCUGCGAGGAUGACCAGCGACACUGGAACUGAGACACGGGCCAGACGCCUACGGGAGGCAGCAGUGGGGAAUAUUGCGCAAUGGGCGCAAGCCUGAUGCAGCCAUGCCGCGUGUAUGAAGAAGGCCUUCGGGUUGUAAAGUACUUUCAGCGGGGAGGCGGUACCCGCAGAAGAAGCACCGGCUAACUACGUGCCAGCAGCCGCGGUAAUUC
rnacentral:rRNA from 1 species